UAGGGAAUCUUCGGCAAUGGACGAAAGUCUGACCGAGCAACGCCGCGUGAGUGAAGAAGGUUUUCGGAUCGUAAAACUCUGUUGUUAGAGAAGAACAAGGACGUUAGUAACUGAACGUCCCCUGACGGUAUCUAACCAGAAAGCCACGGCUAACUACGUGCCAGCAGCCGCGGUAAUACGUAGGUGGCAAGCGUUGUCCGGAUUUAUUGGGCGUAAAGCGAGCGCAGGUGGUUUCUUAAGUCUGAUGUGAAAGCCCCCGGCUCAACCGGGGAGGCUUAUUCGAAACUGGGAGACUUGAGUGCAGAAGCGGAGAGUGGAAAUCCAUGUGUAGCGGUGAAAUGCGUAGAUAUAUGGCGGAACACCAGUGGCGAAGGCGGCUAUCUGGUCUAUAACUGACGCUGAGGCUAGAAAGCGUGGGGAGCAAACAGG
rnacentral:rRNA from 1 species